rnacentral:rRNA from 1 species
GCGCGAAAACUUUACAAUGCUGGCAACAGCGAUAAGGGAACCUCGAGUGCCAGGUUACAAAUCUGGCUGUCGAGAUGCCUAAAAAGCAUUUCAUAGCAAGGGCCGGGCAAGACCGGUGCCAGCCGCCGCGGUAACACCGGCGGCUCGAGUGGUAACCGUUAUUAUUGGGUCUAAAGGGUCUGUAGCCGGCCGGAUAAGUCUCUUGAGAAACCUGGCAGCUUAACUGUCUGGCUUUCAGGAGAUACUGUCUGGCUCGAGGCCGGGAGAGGUGAGAGGUACUUCAGGGGUAGGGGUGAAAUCUUGUAAUCCUUGAAGGACCACCAGUGGCGAAGGCGUCUCACCAGAACGGACCUGACGGCAAGGGACGAAAGCUAGGGGCACGAACCG